rnacentral:ncRNA from 1 species
UUUCAAAUCUUUAAGAGCAAACGGUGGAUGCCUUGGCAUCUGGAGCCGAAGAAGGACGUAGCAAUCUGCGAUAAGCCUCGGGGAACUGAUAAGCAAGUUUUGAUCCGAGGGUGUCCGAAUGGGGAAACCCCGCUGGGCGGCGUGCCGACCUAGUGACUCCCGCCUGAAUAUAUAGGGCGGGUAGAGGGAACGUGGGGAAGUGAAACAUCUCAGUACCCACAGGAAGAGAAAGCAACCGCGAUUCCGUUAGUAGUGGCGAGCGAAACCGGAACAGGCUAAACCGAGUACGUGUGAUAUCCGGCAGGAGUUGCGUAUUCGGGGUUGUGGGACUUUUCAGACAGUUCUGCCGAUCUGUCGGCGUUACAAGAAGGUAUAGACGAACCGCAUUGAAAGGCGGGUCAUAGAGGGUGCCAACCCCGUAGUCGAAAUGCCUCUCUUGACGCGAAGAGUAUCCCAAGUAGCACGGGGCCCGAGAAAUCCCGUGUGAAUCUGUCAGGACCACCUGAUAAGCCUAAAUACUCCCAGAUGACCGAUAGCGGACAAGUACCGUGAGGGAAAGGUGAAAAGUACCCCGGGAGGGGAGUGAAAUAGUACCUGAAACCGUUUGCUUACAAACCGUUGGAGCCUCCUUAGUAGGGGUGACAGCGUGCCUUUUGAAGAAUGAGCCUGCGAGUUAGCGAUAUGUGGCGAGGUUAACCCGUGUGGGGUAGCCGUAGCGAAAGCGAGUCUGAAUAGGGCGAUUCAGUCGCAUGUCCUAGACCCGAAGCGAAGUGAUCUAUCCAUGGCCAGGUUGAAGCGACGGUAAGACGUCGUGGAGGACCGAACCCACUUAGGUUGAAAACUGAGGGGAUGAGCUGUGGAUAGGGGUGAAAGGCCAAUCAAACUUCGUGAUAGCUGGUUCUCUCCGAAAUGCAUUUAGGUGCAGCGUUGCGUGUUUCUUGCCGGAGGUAGAGCUACUGGAUGGCCGAUGGGCCCUACAAGGUUACUGACGUCAGCCAAACUCCGAAUGCCGGUAAGUGAGAGCGCAGCAGUGAGACUGUGGGGGAUAAGCUUCAUAGUCGAGAGGGAAACAACCCAGACCACCAUCUAAGGUCCCAAAGCGCGUGCUAAGUGGGAAAGGAUGUGGAGUUGCUUUGACAACCAGGAGGUUGGCUUAGAAGCAGCCACCCUUGAAAGAGUGCGUAAUAGCUCACUGGUCAAGUGAUUCCGCGCCGACAAUGUAACGGGGCUCAAGCACGCCACCGAAGCUGUGGCAUUGACAUUAUUGGUAGGCCUUCGUGGUCCAGCCGUGUUGAUGGGUAGGAGAGCGUCGUGUGGCCAGCGAAGCGGCGGUGUGAACCAGCCGUGGAGGCUACACGAGUGAGAAUGCAGGCAUGAGUAGCGAAAGACGUGUGAGAAACACGUCCUCCGAAAGACCAAGGGUUCCAGGGUCAAGCUAAUCUUCCCUGGGUAAGUCGGGACCUAAGGCGAGGCCGACAGGCGUAGUCGAUGGACAACGGGUUGAUAUUCCCGUACCGGCGAAGAACCGCCCAAGCUAAUCCAGUGGUGCUAAGAGUCCUAACCCGGCUGAGUGGAUCCCUUCGGGGUGAAGCCGGCCGGUCUAACGCUCGACCCCGUUCUGGUGCGGCUAGCGUAUUAACAGGUGUGACGCAGGAAGGUAGCCCAACCCGGGCGAUGGUUGUCCCGGGGCAAGUGCGUAGGCCGAGAGAUAGGCAAAUCCGUCUCUCACAUAGGCUGAGACACGAUGCGGAUAAAAAGUGGGUGAUCCUAUGCUGCCAAGAAAAGCAUCGACGCGAGGUUCAAGCCGCCCGUACCCCAAACCGACUCAGGUGGUCAGGUAGAGAAUACCAAGGAGAUCGAGAGAAUCGUGGUUAAGGAACUCGGCAAAAUGCCCCCGUAACUUCGGGAGAAGGGGGGCCUUCCGCUUAUUAGGAUUUACUCCGAAAGGGCGUGGAGGCCGCAGAGACUAGUGGGUAGCGACUGUUUACUAAAAACACAGGUCCGUGCCAAGUCGCAAGACGAUGUAUACGGACUGACGCCUGCCCGGUGCUGGAAGGUUAAGAGGACCGGUUAGCCGCAAGGCGAAGCUGAGAAUUUAAGCCCCAGUAAACGGCGGUGGUAACUAUAACCAUCCUAAGGUAGCGAAAUUCCUUGUCGGGUAAGUUCCGACC